AAGUCGUAACAAGGUUUCCGUAGGUGAACCUGCGGAAGGAUCAUUAACGAAUAACUAUGGUGUCUUGGUUGUAGCUGGCUCCUCGGAGCAAUGUGCACGCCCGCCAUUUUUAUCUUUCCACCUGUGCACCGACUGUAGGUCUGGAUGACUCUCGCACUCCGGUGCGGAUGCGAGGAUUGCUCUCUGGCUCUCCUCGAAUUUCCAGGCUCUACGUCUUUUUACACACCCCAAACGUAUGAUACAGAAUGUAGUCAAUGGGCUUGAUCGCCUAUAAAACACUAUACAACUUUCAGCAACGGAUCUCUUGGCUCUC
rnacentral:misc_RNA from 1 species